rnacentral:rRNA from 1 species
AUUGAACGCUGGCGGCAGGCCUAACACAUGCAAGUCGAGCGGAUGAAGGGAGCUUGCUCCUGGAUUCAGCGGCGGACGGGUGAGUAAUGCCUAGGAAUCUGCCUGGUAGUGGGGGAUAACGUCCGGAAACGGGCGCUAAUACCGCAUACGUCCUGCGGGAGAAAGUGGGGGAUCUUCGGACCUCACGCUAUCAGAUUAGCCUAGGUCGGAUUAGCUAGUUGGUGGGGUAAAGGCCUACCAAGGCGACGAUCCGUAACUGGUCUGAGAGGAUGAUCAGUCACACUGGAACUGAGACACGGUCCAGAGUCCUACGGGAGGCAGCAGUGGGGAAUAUUGGACAAUGGGCGAAAGCCUGAUCCAGCCAUGCCGCGUGUGUGAAGAAGGUCUUCGGAUUGUAAAGCACUUUAAGUUGGGAGGAAGGGCAGUAAGUUAAUACCUUGCUGUUUUGACGUUACCAACAGAAUAAGCACCGGCUAACUUCGUG